rnacentral:rRNA from 1 species
GACGAACGCUGGCGGCGUGCUUAACACAUGCAAGUCGUACGGUAAGGCCCUUUCGGGGGUACACGAGUGGCGAACGGGUGAGUAACACGUGAGUAACCUGCCCACAACUUUGGGAUAACGCUAGGAAACUGGUGCUAAUACUGGAUAUGUGCUCCUGCUGCAUGGUGGGGGUUGGAAAGCUCCGGCGGUUGUGGAUGGACUCGCGGCCUAUCAGCUUGUUGGUGGGGUAGUGGCCUACCAAGGCGGCGACGGGUAGCCGGCCUGAGAGGGUGACCGGCCACAUUGGGACUGAGAUACGGCCCAGACUCCUACGGGAGGCAGCAGUGGGGAAUAUUGCACAAUGGGCGCAAGCCUGAUGCAGCAACGCCGCGUGCGGGAUGACGGCCUUCGGGUUGUAAACCGCUUUCAGCAGGGACGAAGCUUUUUGUGACGGUACCUGCAGAAGAAGCACCGGCUAACUACGUGCCAGCAGCCGCGGUGAUACGUAGGGUGCGAGCGUUGUCCGGAUUUAUUGGGCGUAAAGGGCUCGUAGGCGGUUGAUCGCGUCGGAAGUGGAAACUUGAUGCUUAACGUUGAGCGUGCUUUCGAUACGGGUUGACUUGAGGAAGGUAGGGGAGAAUGGAAUUCCAUGUGUAGCGGUGAAAUGCGCAGAGAUAUGGAGGAACACCAGUGGCGAAGGCGACUUUCUGGUCUGUAACUGACGCUGAUGUGCGAAAGCGUGGGGAUCAAACAGGAUUAGAUACCCUGGUAGUCCACGCCGUAAACGAUGAGUGCUAAGUGUUAGGGGGUUUCCGCCCCUUAGUGCUGCAGCUAACGCAUUAAGCACUCCGCCUGGGGAGUACGACCGCAAGGUUGAAACUCAAAGGAAUUGACGGGGACCCGCACAAGCGGUGGAGCAUGUGGUUUAAUUCGAAGCAACGCGAAGAACCUUACCAAAUCUUGACAUCCUCUGACCCCUCUAGAGAUAGAGUUUUCCCCUUCGGGGGACAGAGUGACAGGUGGUGCAUGGUUGUCGUCAGCUCGUGUCGUGAGAUGUUGGGUUAAGUCCCGCAACGAGCGCAACCCUUAAGCUUAGUUGCCAUCAUUAAGUUGGGCACUCUAAGUUGACUGCCGGUGACAAACCGGAGGAAGGUGGGGAUGACGUCAAAUCAUCAUGCCCCUUAUGAUUUGGGCUACACACGUGCUACAAUGGACAAUACAAAGGGUAGCGAAACCGCGAGGUCAAGCAAAUCCCAUAAAGUUGUUCUCAGUUCGGAUUGUAGUCUGCAACUCGACUAUAUGAAGCUGGAAUCGCUAGUAAUCGUAGAUCAGCAUACUACGGUGAAUACGUUCCCGGGUCU